rnacentral:rRNA from 1 species
GUCUAUGGCCAUGCCACCCUGAACAUGCACAAUCUCCUCUGAUCUCGGAAGCUAAGUAGGGUCGGGCCUGUUUAGUACCUUGAUGUGAGACCACCUAGAAAUACCAGGUGCUGUAGGCA